rnacentral:rRNA from 1 species
UACAGAGGGGGCAAGCGUUGUUCGGAAUUACUGGGCGUAAAGGGCGCGUAGGCGGCCUGCUAAGUCGAACGUGAAAUCCCCGGGCUUAACCUGGGAACUGCAUUGGUGACUGGCAGGCUUUGAGUGUGGCAGAGGGAGGUAGAAUUCCACGUGCAGCAGUGAAAUGCGUAGAGAUGUGGAGGAAUACCGAUGGCGAAGGCAGCCUCCUGGGCCAACACUGACGCUCAUGCACGAAAGCGUGGGGAGCAAACAGG